rnacentral:rRNA from 1 species
GAUGAACGCUGGCGGCGUGCUUAACACAUGCAAGUCGAACGGAAAGGCCCAAGCUUGCUUGGGUACUCGAGUGGCGAACGGGUGAGUAACACGUGGGUGAUCUGCCCUGCACUUCGGGGUAAGACUGGGAAACUGGGUCUAAUACCGGAUAGGACCACGUUUUGGAUGGUUUGGUUGUAAGUUUUUCGGUGUGGGUUGACCGCGCGGCGUAUCAGCUUGUUGGUGGGGUAAUGGUGUACCAAGGCGUCGGCGGGGAGCCGGCCUGUGAGGGUGCAGGGCCGCAUUGGGACUGAGGAACGGGCCAGACUGCAUCGGGGGGCAGGAGGGGGGAAUAUUGCGAGCUGGGCCGCAGGCUUGUAGAAGGACGCCGGGUGGUGGAACACGGCCGUCGGGUUGUAACCUCUUUUCGCUAGGAACGAAGCCCAAGUGACGGUACCUGGAGAAGAAGCAACGGCUAACUACGUG